rnacentral:rRNA from 1 species
GUAGUCCACGCCCUAAACGAUGUCAACUAGCUGUUGGGGCCUUCGGGCCUUGGUAGCGCAGCUAACGCGUGAAGUUGACCGCCUGGGGAGUACGGUCGCAAGAUUAAAACUCAAAGGAAUUGACGGGGACCCGCACAAGCGGUGGAUGAUGUGGAUUAAUUCGAUGCAACGCGAAAAACCUUACCUACCCUUGACAUGUCUGGAAUGCCGAAGAGAUUUGGUAGUGCUCGCAAGAGAACCGGAACACAGGUGCUGCAUGGCUGUCGUCAGCUCGUGUCGUGAGAUGUUGGGUUAAGUCCCGCAACGAGCGCAACCCUUGUCAUUAGUUGCUACGAAAGGGCACUCUAAUGAGACUGCCGGUGACAAACCGGAGGAAGGUGAUGGGGACUCACAGGAGACUGCCGGGGUCAACUCGGA